rnacentral:rRNA from 1 species
AGAAUGAACGCUAGCGAUAUGCUUAACACAUGCAAGUUGAACGUUGUUUUCGUAAUAAAAAUAGAAACAAAGUAGGCGAACGGGUGGCGUAACACGUAGGAAUCUGCCAAACAGUUUGGGCCAAAUCCUGAAUAGAAUAAAAAGCUAAAAAGACGCUGUUUGAUGAGCCCACGUAGUAUUAGGUAGUUGGUUAGGUAAAAGCUGACCAAGCCUACGAUGCUUAGCUGGUCUUUUCGGAUGAUCAGCCACACUGGGACUGAGACACGGCCCAGACUCCUACGGGAGGCAGCAGUGGGGAAUCUUGGACAAUGGGCGAAAGCCUGAUCCGGCAAUAUGGCGUGAGUGAAGAAGGGCAACGCAGCUUGUAAAGCUCUUUCAUCGAGUGUGCGAUUGUGACAAGACUCGAAUAAGAAGCCCCGGCUAACUCCGUGCCAGCAGCCGC